rnacentral:rRNA from 1 species
GACGAACACUGGCGGCGUGCUUAACACAUGCAAGUCGAACGGAAAGGCCUGCUUUCCCUUGUGGAUUGCGGGUACUCGAGUGGCGAACGGGUGAGUAACACGUGAGUGAUCUGCCCCCAACUUGGGUAUAAGCCUGGGAAACUGGGUCUAAUUCCCGAUAGGACUGCAGGGUGGUGCCUGUGGUGGAAAACGAUUUUCUAGUGGUUGGGGAUGAGCUCGCGGCCUAUCAGCUUGUUGGUGGGGUAAUGGCCUACCAAGGCGGCGACGGGUAGCCGGCCUGAGAGGGUGGACGGCCACAUUGGGACUGAGAUACGGCCCAGACUCCUACGGGAGGAAGCAGUGGGGAAUAUUGCACAAUGGGCGGAAGCCGGAUGCAGCGACGCCGCGUGGGGGAUGACGGCCUUCGGGUUGUAAACUCCUUUCGACCGCGAGGAAGCCACCUGGUUGGAAGGGUGGUGACGGUAGUGGUAGAAGAAGCACCGGCUAACUACGUG